CUCUGCUUCCCUCCUAAUGCUAAUAAGGGUGAAAAGUGAUGGAGGAGACACCUGAGAAGAGUUUUCCUGGAAAAGGAUAUAGAUGAGAAUCUGAGACACAGCUAUGUGUCCAACUAUUAUGAGCUGUCGCUUGGCAACAAACAUUCUAGAGUAUGGUUUAAGUUUGCUGUAACAUGGUCAUUCAUGAGUGUGAAAUGAGUCACAAAGCACCCAAGGGCAAUACAUGUCCCUGUGAAUAUGCUGGAGAACAGUUGCCAAGGAUGUGUUCUGGGGAGCCUCUGGUGCUGGUUAAUGAUAAAACAAGAGGUAGGAGAAGUUUGAAGGAUAUUAGAAAUUGUUCACUGGAAGCUGCAAGUUAAGAGACCUACAUUCAAGUCUUUGCUUUGGAUGCAACUUGUCACAAAUCUUUGGGAUCCCAUUCAAAACAUCAUAUUGGAGUUUUUGAAAAGAUAAGCAAAAUCAACAAACCUUUAGCCAGACUAAGAAAAAAUGAGAAAUGACCCAAAUAAAUAAAAUCAGAGAUUUUAAAAAAAGAGACAUCACAACUGAUACCAGAGGAAUAUAAAUAUCAUAAGAAACUGUUAGGAACAAUGAUUCGCCAAAAAUUUGGUAACCCAGAUGAAAUAGAGAAACUUCUGGACACAUACAAACUACCAAUACUGAAUCAUGAAGCUACAGAAAAUGUGAACGGAUCAAUAACAUGUGACAAGAUUGAAUUAGUAAUGAAAGGUCUCCUAUUAAAGAAAAGCCCAGGACAUAUGGCUUUACUUCUACCAAACAUUUAAAUAACAAAUUCUAAUUCUUCUUAAACUCUUCCAAAAAAUUGAAGAGAGGAAACACUUCCAAGGUCAUUCUAUGAGGCCAGAAUUACCCUAAUAGCAAAAUCAUGCAAGGACACAACAAAAAAAGAAAACUUAUAGGCCAAUAUCCCUGAUGAAUAUAAAUGCAAAAAUCUUCAACAAAAGAGAUCAUUAACCAUGGUCAAGUAGGAUUCACAGCAGAGAUGCAAGAAUGAUUCAACAUAAAGCAAAUUAAUAAAUGCAAAACAUCACUUUAAUAGAAUGAAGGACAAAAACCAAUUCGAUCAUUUCAAUAGAUGCAGAAAAACAUUUGACAAAAUUCAAUAUUUUUCUCUGAUAAAAGCUCAAUGAAUUAGGUAUAAAAGGAAUAUACUUUGAUACAAUAAAGGCCAUAUAUGACAAGCCCACAACAGCUAAUAUACUGAAUAGAAAAAAGUUGAAUACUUUUCUUCUGAGAACUGGAACAAGACAAGAAUGCCCACUUUCUCACUUCUAUUCAACAUAGUACUGGCAGUCCUAGCCAGAGCUUAGGCAGUCCUAGCCAGAGCUAGAAAAGAAAAAAAAAUCAGGCAUCCAAAUUGUAAAGAAGUUUGCAGAUGACAUAAUCUUAUGCAUAGAAAACCCUAAAGACUCUACUAAAAUACUGUUAUAACUAAUAAUUUAGUAAGUUUGCAGGAUAUAAAAUCAACAUACAAAAAUCAGUAGCAUUCUAUUUACAAAAGCAAACUAUUUGAAAAAGACAUCAAGAAAACAAUUCCAUUUACAAUGGGUACAAAAAAAAAACCCUAAAAUAAAAUACUUAGGAAUAAAUUUAACCAAGAAGGUGAAAGAUGAGUAUACUCAAACUAUAAAACCUUGAUGAAAGAAAUUAAAGAAGACACAAAAAAUGGAAAGCUAUUCUUCUGUGUUUAUGGAUUGGAGGAAUAGUUAAAAUGUCCAUACCUACUCAAAGCAAUCUACAUAUUCAAUGUAACCCCUAACAAUAUAUUAUGUUCUUCACAGAAAUAGAAAAAAAAUUCUGAAAUUGGUAUGGAACCACAAAAAUUUCUGGAUAGACAAAACAAUAUUGAACAAAAGGAACAAAGCUGAAGUCAUCACAAUACCUCAUUUCAAAAUAUACUACAAAGCUAUACUAAUUGAAACACCAUGGUACCGUCAUAGAAACAGACACAUUAACCAAUGGAAUAGAAUAUAGAGGCUAGAAAUAAACCCACACAGCUAUGGUCAAUUGCUUUUUUAUAAAAGGUUCCAAGAACACACAGUGGAGAAAGGACAGUCUGUCAAUAAGUAGUGUUGGGAAAAACUGUAUGUCCAUGUGCAGAAAAAUUAGAUCCUUAUUUUUCACCAUAUAGAAAAGUCAACUCAAAAUGGAUUAAAGUCUUAAAUUUAAGACCCCAAACUAUGAAAGCUUCUAGAGGAAAGCAUAGGGAAAAGACUUCAUGACAUAACUCUGGGCAAGAUCUUAUCUUUUUGGUUAAGAUCUCAAACACAUAGGCAAGAAAAGUGAAAAUAGAUGGGAUUACAUCAAGCUAAAAAACUUCUGCAUAGCAAAGGAAACAAUAAAGUGAAGAGAAAACCCAAAGAAUGGGAGAAAAUACGUGCAAAUUAUUUAUUUAACAAGGGAUUAAUAACCAGAAUAUUUUAUAUAAGGAGCUCAAACAACUCAAUAGGAAAGCAAAAACAAAAACAAUCCAAUUAACAAAUGAGCAAAAGAUCUGAACAGGCAUUUCUCAAAAGAAGACAUACAAACGGCCAACAGGUAUAUGAAAAAAUGCUCUGUAUCACUUAAUCAUCAGUUAAAUGCAAAUUAAAACAAUGAGAUAUCUCACCCCAGUGAGUAUGGCUUUUUUUUUUUUUUUUUUUU